GGAUCCCGGGGCCGCCAUGGCGGCCGCGGGAAUUCGAUUGUUACCUUGUUACGACUUGCAUGUGUUAGGCCUGCCGCCAGCGUUCAAUCUGAGCCAGGAUCAAACUCUACGGUUACCUUGUUACGACUUGUCUGGGCCAGGAUCAAACUCUACGGUACCCCGUUACGACAUACGGUUACCUUGUUACGACUUGUCUGAGCCAGGAUCAAACUCUACGGUUACCUUGUUACGACUUACGGUUACCUUGUUACGACUUGCAUGUGUAAAGCAUGCCGCCAGCGUUCAAUCUGAGCCAGGAUCAAACUCUACGGUUACCUUGUUACGACUUACGGUUACCUUGUUACGACCUACGGUUACCUUGUUACGACUU
rnacentral:rRNA from 1 species